rnacentral:rRNA from 1 species
UACGGGGGGGGCAAGCGUUGUUCGGAAUUACUGGGCGUAAAGGGCUCGUAGGCGGCCAACUAAGUCAGACGUGAAAUCCCUCGGCUUAACCGGGGAACUGCAUCUGAUACUGGAUGGCUUGAGUUCGGGAGAGGGAUGCGGAAUUCCAGGUGUAGCGGUGAAAUGCGUAGAUAUCUGGAGGAACACCGGUGGCGAAGGCGGCAUCCUGGACCGACACUGACGCUGAGGAGCGAAAGUGUGGGGAGCGAACAGG